CACUGAGAGUACACACACACACACACACACACACGCACACUGAGAGUACGCACACUGAGAUACACACACUGAGAGUACGCACACUGAGAGUACGCACACUGAGAGUACACACACUGAGAGUACACACACACACACACACACACUGAGAGUACACACACUGAGAGUACGCACACUAGUACGCACACUGAGAGUACACACACUGAGAGUACACACACUGUGAGUACACACACUACACAAGCACCAUGGAUCACAGGGGGCGUGUUUUUAAAUGGUGGAACCAGGUCCUAAAGCCCUCCAUGUACUGCGUCUCAUGAACAAUGUAGCACGAUGCAUCUAACCAGCAGUACGUAGAGUCUGUACUCAGGUGGUAACUCACCCGAGUGUCCGAACAUGGUGGCCACGCACUCUCCAGAGUAGAAGUCAAAUAUGCUGAUGUUCUUAUCUGAACAGGAAGUGGCGAUGUAGAGACCCGACGGGUCGAUCUGUACCUGAAGGCAGCAGACGAGGGGCAGUUAGCGCCGCAAACACCUGCUGUCACUACGGAAACGCCACUACUCACCUUGAUGAGAGUACCGUCUUCUCCCUGAGAGCCUUUAUACAUCUUCUUCUGUUUACCAUUACUGAUGUUAA
ensembl:lncRNA